rnacentral:rRNA from 1 species
CCUAACACAUGCAAGUCGAACGGUAACAGGAAACAGCUUGCUGUUUCGCUGACGAGUGGCGGACGGGUGAGUAAUGUCUGGGAAACUGCCUGAUGGAGGGGGAUAACUACUGGAAACGGUAGCUAAUACCGCAUAACGUCGCAAGACCAAAGAGGGGGAUCCUCGGGCCUCUUGCCAUCAGAUGUGCCCAGAUGGGAUUAGCUAGUAGGUGGGGUAACGGCUCACCUAGGCGACGAUCCCUAGCUGGUCUGAGAGGAUGACCAGCCACACUGGAACUGAGACACGGUCCAGACUCCUACGGGAGGCAGCAGUGGGGAAUAUUGCACAAUGGGCGCAAGCCUGAUGCAGCCAUGCCGCGUGUAUGAAGAA